rnacentral:misc_RNA from 1 species
CGCCACUCAAGGUUCCUUCUGAAUCUUCACUCCUGACUUGGCAUCGUCCAAGCAACAGAGAAUGGGAUGCUUGUCCAAAAGGUUUGAAAGUUCUAGCUUUUGAAUCAAAAGAACGAUUUCCACGAAAAUUGUCAGAAACUAUCUUAGUUGUGUCAGCUAAAACUGCACAACAUUGCAUAUGGAGAUGUGAAGUAAAGCAGUGGUUGAUCUCGACUCGGUUGAUACUGGACCAAGCUAAAAACAUGUGUUGUCUAAACUUAGUGCAUCCGUCAUUGCAGAAGUGAGGUUGAAUGAUGCGAGGUCUCAAUGACAUAGCCUGCAAAUUUGGGGCUGACCACAUUGUAAAUAGAGUUAGUUCCAAGUGAUUUGAAUAUUGAAGGCGAAGAGGAAAUGGG